GUCGAGCGGUAACAGAGGGAGCUUGCUCCCUGCUGACGAGCGGCGGACGGGUGAGUAAUGCUUAGGAAUCUGCCCAGUAGAGGGGGAUAGCCCGGGGAAACCCGGAUUAAUACCGCAUACGCCCUACGGGGGAAAGCAGGGGAUCUUCGGACCUUGCGCUAUUGGAUGAGCCUAAGUCGGAUUAGCUAGUUGGUGGGGUAAAGGCCUACCAAGGCGACGAUCCGUAGCUGGUCUGAGAGGAUGAUCAGCCACAUCGGGACUGAGACACGGCCCGAACUCCUACGGGAGGCAGCAGUGGGGAAUAUUGGACAAUGGGGGCAACCCUGAUCCAGCCAUGCCGCGUGUGUGAAGAAGGCUUUCGGGUUGUAAAGCACUUUCAGUGAGGAGGAAGGCUCAAAAGCUAAUACCUUUUGGGAUUGACGUUACUCACAGAAGAAGCACCGGCUAACUCCGUGCCAGCUG
rnacentral:rRNA from 1 species